CUGCUUGUAAGCAAACUCUUUGUCACACACAGCAUUUCUGUUUAAAGUGAGCAAAAACAAGGAAACCUUUUUUCCUUUUCAACUUUUGUUCUACAAACAUAAAAAACUAGAAAUACCAGAUGGACCUGGCAGUAAUUAAUGCACAGCAAGUUGAACCUUUUACCUGCCAGAUCACUUUGUGUGCCAUAGACAACUAUAAUUGAAAUGUGAUUUAGCUGAACGCUGGGUUCCACGGUUGACUUUUCCUUGAGUUUCUCUGAUGCUGGGGGAUGGAACCGAGGUCCUAAAGCAUGUGAAGUAUGGGCUCUACCAACUUUAAUUGUCUCCCAGCAUCAUUUAAAAAAUCUCCUACAGAAAGGCCAACUGUGCCAAUGAGAUGGCUGGAAGCUAAACCAAGAACACCUGUGUGAACCGUGGAAUCUCAACGUCAGAGAGGACCUACAAGGAUCUCAGGGGACAGUUACUAAGUUCUCGGCAGACACAACAUCUUUGUAUGUGGUGCUGAGGAUCGAACCCGGGCCGCACGCAUGCCAGGUGAGCACGCUACCGCUUGAGCCACAUCCCCAGCCCAAGAAGAAAGUUCUGGGAAGGGAAAGUUUUAGAUGGGACAGUACUUGGGAAUAUCUCCAAGAAAGGUGUCUGAAUGAACACUUCCAGCAGGGAGACUGCAAGAGCAGGUGGUUCCUAAAAAGAGAUGGUCAGAGAAGAACUGCAGAUUUGGGCUUUUUCAUGGAUGUGGCCUCUGGCCUAGGUGGUUGAGAAGUU